UAGGGGUAGCUCAUAUGGUAGAGUGCUAACUUCACAAGCGAGAGGCACGGGGUUCGAUUCCCCGGACCUCCAAAU